GAUCCUGGCUCAGGACGAACGCUGGCGGCGUGCUUAACACAUGCAAGUCGAACGAGAAUCUGUGGAUCGAGGUAUUCGUCCAAGUGUAAGCAGAGGACAGUGGCGGACGGGUGAGUAACGCGUGAGGAACCUGCCUUUCAGAGGGGGGACAACAGUUGGAAACGACUGCUAAUACCGCAUGAUACAUUUGGGUGGCAUCAUCUGAAUGUCAAAGAUUUAUCGCUGAAAGA
rnacentral:rRNA from 1 species